AAAGAAUUAAAACAAAGUGUGUGCAUGUGUUGGCCAAGCGGUAAGGGGUUAAUGCCUAAGGCCAAAGGUCUUGAGUUCGAAUCCCCUGUGGCGCGAUCAUUUAAUUUCUUUAUUUAAUAUUGUAAAUUUAUCCAAAAAAAAAAAAGAAUUAAAACAAAGUUGUUGUAUUUGUGAAGUGUGCGAUAAUACCUCAACACCGUUCUCCUCCACUUUCCCUUCCCGACUCCUAUGAUCACCACCAUGACACUGACACCGUCAUCAACCGAAGUAUUUAUUUUUCAAUCUAUCCCAUUGUCAAAUUCUAAAUCUACUCCUAAUUGAAACCACCCAUCCUCUUCUCACUAGUUUCAC
rnacentral:lncRNA from 1 species